CCUACGGGGUGCAGCAGUGGGGGAUAUUGCACAAUGGGGGGAACCCUGAUGCAGCGACGCCGCGUGGGUGAAGAAGCGCCUCGGCGCGUAAAGCCCUGUCAGCAGGGAAGAAAAUGACGGUACCUGAAGAAGAAGCCCCGGCUAACUACGUGCCAGCAGCCGCGGGAAUACGUAGGGGGCAAGCGUUAUCCGGAUUUACUGGGUGUAAAGGGGGCGCAGACGGCGAUGCAAGCCAGGAGUGAAAGCCCGGGGCCCAACCCCGGGACUGCUCUUGGAACUGCGUGGCUGGAGUGCAGGAGGGGCAGGCGGAAUUCCUGGUGUAGCGGUGAAAUGCGUAGAGAUCAGGAGGAACACCGGUGGCGAAGGCGGCCUGCUGGACUGCAACUGACGUUGAGGCCCGAAAGCGUGGGGAGCAAACAGGAUUAGAUACCCGAGUAGUC
rnacentral:rRNA from 1 species